rnacentral:rRNA from 1 species
UUAAUAUUAAUAGUUAUGUUCUUUAAAUUAAAAGAAUUUGGCGGUUAUUUAAUCUUUCUAGAGGAACCUGUCCUGUAAUUGAUAAUCCACGAUUGAUUUUACUUUAAUUAUACUUAUAUAUCGCUGUCAUUGAAUGUUUUAUAAGAUUAUUUUCUUUUAUUUUUAUGAAUAUAAUGUUAGGUCAAGAUGUAGUUAUAUUAAAGAAGAGAUGGGUUACAUUUAUAUAAUUAAUAGAUUGAAAUUUGGAAUAUUUUUCAUGAAAUUGGAUUUAGGUGUAAUUUUUAUAAAAUAAUAAUUUUGAUUUUAGUUCUAAAUAAUGUACACAUCGCCCGUCACUCCCAUUAUGAGUUGGGAUAAGUCGUAACAAAGUAGGCCUACCGGAAGGUGGGCCUGGUUAGUU